UUGCCUUAUGUGAGGAUCGGAUGGAAUUAAACAGCUAGCAUUUUUGUUUAUAAGAUGCAUUCUGUUUAAUUUCCUCCGAUAUCUCAUCUGUGGCUU
rnacentral:pre_miRNA from 1 species